rnacentral:rRNA from 1 species
UCCCCUUAAGGUAAACGGCGAGUGAAGAGGGAAAAGCCCAGCACCGAASCCUGCGGCAGAUUUGCUGCUAGGCAAUGUGGUGUUUGGGUCGGCUCGUGGGACCGCCACUCCACUCGAAGUCCAGCAUUGAGUAUGGUCACUGGAUUUGGCCCAGAGAGGGUGAAAGGCCCGUACGGGUGGAGGUUCAGACAUGUGAGGCGGUUCACCAGGCCGACCUUAGAGUCGGGUUGUUUGGGAAUGCAGCCCAAAGCGGGUGGUAAACUCCAUCCAAGGCUAAAUACAAGCACGAGUCCGAUAGCGAACAAGUACCGUGAGGGAAAGUUGAAAAGUACUCUGAAGAGAGAGUAAACAGUACGUGAAACCGCAUGCAGGUAAACGGGUGGCGUCAAGCUGCAAGCCCAGAGGAUUCAGCCGGCUAGGUUGUUGUGUAUGCGCCUGGCGCAUCUAUCAGUCGGAGUAUGAUAGGAUAGUCCACCGGUAGACGGUGGGCCCGGCCGCAAGGUCGGGAUAUGUGUACCGGGUGGGUGCCGGAGCAUGCUAUCCGUCUGGGGGCUGUCUAGCCGGUGCACUUUCUCUGUGGUGAACACCACGACCGGUGGUAUUGCCAGUCUGCUGUGUCCAAGUCGUAUCCGGUAGGUCCUUGUGGCCAACUGGGUGCGAUCACAGGCAAACUCAGUUAACGGCGUAGAGAUGCCCUGGUAUCUCUGCGUGUUAUCGGCUACUGGUUGUCAGCGGGCCUGCUCGAUGUUUUGUUUGUUGUAACCGGCAUCGGUGGUCUGGUGGGACAUGGUGGUAAGAUAACUGUGCAAGGCACCGGAGUUAUCGGCCUCAAUGUGUCCUGUGCCAUGUUACAGUGGCACAGUGCAGUGUCGUUAUUGUCUGGCCGGUGUGGAUCUGAUGGUCCUGUCGCUKGCCCAGCUAGCCCCGCARGUGCYCU